CCCCCGACCCCGUCAGCCCUGCUAACCCGCCAGCGCCGCCAUCUUGGACUCGGCCUUCAGACAACCUCUGCGAUCCGUCCCCCUAAACCCUCCGGGUCCCCUGGGCCGUCGCCCAAAGCGGCCCGGAGGGCGUGAGGAAACCGGAACCCAGGCCCACGACGUUCCGCUGCGCUUUCGGCCUCGGUGGUCGCGCCCGCGCCCGCGCCGCGUGCCCCCGGGACCCCUCCCCCCCAGCGCGCGCGCCCGCGCGCCAAGAGGUAUACAGCGUGACGUCGGGGCGCGCGUGGAGGUCGCGACGCCCGGGAAAAAUCAGAGGCCACGUCCGCUUCCUCAUACCCGCGGGAGGCCAAGACGGAGGCGCACCUCUAGGGUCGGGGACAGCAACAUGCUGUGUCCUGGGCAUGCCACGUUCAGAUCAUGCCAGCCAGCACCAUGGACUCUUUCCUGAAGGAACAGGAGCUUGUCCAUGGAGGGUUUUGGGGGCUCUCAGCCUUAGUGCUGGUGGCAGGGGUGACAGGGCACUCAGUCCCUGGCCGUGGCUGGUCUGGAGGAAGGGCUGGGGCUGACAGGGCCCCCUGGGCUCACCUCUGCCACCCACACAGCAUCUUCAUGUUUGAGCAGGACUGCCCCCUGUGACCAGCAGCAGACAGUGCUGCUCUCAGGGGAGCCAACUGCCAGGGUCAGGGGACAUGGUGGUGGCCCGAGGAGGGGCCUCCUGCCAACACGUUGCCCUGAGCAGCCCCAGUCAAGCCUUCAGAUGACACAGUUCCAGCUGGCACGCGAGACUGCAGCUUCGUGGGACACCUGGGACCACCCAGCCCAGCUGCCUACAGGAGUCCUGACCCACGGAGGCCAUGAGAGGGAACGUUUCCGCCACUAGGUUUGGGGCAACGUUCCAAGGGCAGGUGUGACCAGCGCAUGGGGCUGCCGGGUGGAUUGACUGCAUGGAAGGCAGAGCUGGGUUCAGGGACUCGGGGCCCCAGACAACCCCUGAAAUGGGGGCCACAGGGCCAAGUCUGCUGGGUGAGUGGGCUCGGUGAGCCUGGCCGGAGAGCAAGGGGCAAACAGGGAGGUGGGGAGGAGGCCGGGGAAGGUGGGCUCUGGCCACACCAAUGUGAUUUUCUGUGCUUUGGAAUUCUCGCCCUGUGCACAUGUCUUUUUUAAAACCGACGUUUUGAAGAGGUGCCAAGGUGCCGCAGGGAAGUCUCCAUUCCUGGGAGGGGCUACUUCACUCAGGGGAAAUGGGAUUCUCUGGGGCGCUGUCUGGGGCUGGAACCAGUAAAAUCAUCACCUUUGACAGAGGACAGAGGACAGGAUAGAGCUAGUUUUCUUGCAUCGCGACCUUCCAGCCUUUGUUCCCUCCCCACUUGGGGCCAGGCACAGAGGCCGCUGGAAAGGCGCCUGCCCAGCUCCUUCUCCCGAGCAAGCGAUGGCAGCAACCGCAACACGGGAGGAAGCCGCCUGUCUCCGGCUCCUCCUCCAACAAAGACUGUUUCUCAGAAACACAGGAGCACAUUCAGGAACCAUGUUAAGUGGAAAUCACACAAAGGGAAAAGAAAAAAAACAAAACAAAACCGGAGGAACGCACUAACGUUUCUGCAGUGGUGUAUUCAUACCAGACACCUUUUUAAAACUGCCAUUUAAUAUCAGACGAGAUGCACAGAAAACAAACGCCACUUCUUGUUAAUCACACGGUACAGUCACAAGAAAGGACACACCAUCCAUCUAUUUUUGUCCUUUUAAAACAUUUCAGGAAAUGCAUCUUGCACAAAGUGCCAGGAAAACAGAACUGGCUUUUGGUACAUUAAUGAAACACUUUUCAGAAGUGUGGAAACCAGGACAACCCAGACAGAUCCAGCACAAACGCAAGCGCCGGGCUCCGCUUCCCGAAGAACAUCAGGGCCUGGCGGCGCGUCCCGGGCUCCGCGGAGCAGCCUCCUCACCACCGACAGCACCGGCUCCUUUCUGCUAAGAGCUGGUUAUCAAAUAUGUCUUUUUCCCUUCAGAAAACAAAAGAUACUUCACUGUAGUCAUUCAUCAUUGUGUUUUAAAGAGUACGAAACAGGAAGGUUCCUGUUUAUGGGGACAGAGCUUCAGUCUGGGAAGAUGAGAAAGUUCUGGAGAUGGAGGGUGGUGACGGCCGCACAGCUACGCAGAUGUGCCUAAUGCCACCGAGCUGUGCACACUUAAAAAGAGUUAGGCUGGUAAAUUUUGUUAUGUGUAUUUUAGUACAAUUUUUUUUAAAGAUAUUUUCAGAAAGAGUAUGAAGUAUCAAAUUGUUCCUACUACAUGACCUCCCUGUAAAGAAAAAUCACAUUAACAAUCGAGUGCCCAGCAGCCCCUUGGGAACAGGGCCACGCAGGACACAGGUAAACCAGGAUGCUGGUUUUGAUGUUUGACCGGCGGACACCUGGAGCCACGUCAGCGGCUGGAAAGAGGCAGCCACAGAGACGGCGAGAGGAGCGGAGACGGCCCACAUCACGAUCUUGCGCGGCACGGUUACAUAGUCGGCCUGUGCACAACUCCUCAACUGUGACUCCCAGGUGAAAAGGACACCAGGAGGGAGGGGACCUCCCUCCACAACGCCAUCGCCAUCGUGUGGGCUAGAGACGCAUUCACGUUCCGUCCGGCCAUUGGAGCCACUGGUCCCGGUGGCAGGACGUUGACGGGCUCCCAGAAGCUUGACUGAGGCCCCAGGUAGACAGUGGACCCCACUUGCUGCCCUGCUCUUCUCUGGACGGUUCCGCAGGCGGCCCCGAGGCCACACCUCCUCCUGCCUUGCGGAGAACUCAUGGCUCUCCUGGGAGCCCCUGUGACCAUGUGCCUGUGAUGGCGGGAGCCCCGGCCCUGUUGGCCUGGAUGGAGACCCUGCCCUGGCCUCGGCCUGCCGCUGCCCGCACGCCCCGCCUGACUCCAGCAGGGCCUGGCACUGAGCCCAGCGAUGGGAUUAGGGGCUCUGGGGCCAAACAUCCAAGGCAGCUAAACACACCGAUGUGAGAGAAACAUCUUGAUCACAGCAUUCUUCUGCCUGGCCAGACACCACGUGGGGUGACUGCUGCCUCCUAAUCUUGCUGCACGGGCCUCACAGCCAUGGGCUGGAUCAAGAGGGAAACAAGUUCAAAAUACAAAUAUCAGCCCUGCAGAGAGAUUAGGACGGACAUGCCCGGGCACCCGACCAGCGCUCUGCAUAUGCAGCUGCCACGGGAUCGGGCCCCGAGGCUGGCGACCCCAGGGAAGGCCGUGGCCGAGCUGAAGGCCUUGGACACGUGUCCAGCUCUGCCACCACUGACCAGCUCGGGAACCCUGGACCACCACCAAACCCAUCUACAGGACAGGAACGCCCAGCGCUGCCUCUGCGGGGCCUGUGGCCAUUCCCUGGCCCUUCGCUAACGUGUGUUUUGAGGAAGAGUGGGCUGUCGGCAGCUCUAGCCAGAACUGCCAGCGGCGCAGAAACAAAACCCCUGAAGACAUGAACUGAGAACGAUCUGGUACCAAUUAUGCAGAUGUCUGGGUAGGUGGAAGAAUGUUUGCUCUUGUCUCUGUUCCGCACCUGGGAAGAUAAACUUGUAAUUUACUAUUAGUGUGGAAUCGAACAGACUUUAAUCUUAUGAGCAAGACUUGGCCUGUAGACCCAAAGCUACAUUUUGUAUGUCCUUGUUUAUGGGAAGCCAGCAAAGAAUUUCCUGCGAAUGAUCAGUGAGGCCAGUCCUUUGCAAGAGCCUGAGGCCUUUACCUUCCCUUUUGCAUAAGGAGUUGGGGGAGUGGUCCUGAGAUUUGUAUUUUCAUUUACACUCUGAUGUUGAUUUUCAGUUCUUAAUUACCUCUCCGGAAAUUGUAUUUUUCCUAAUUAGGUACUCUAAUAAAAGUGUGUAAACAUAAACAUAAA